AUGUCCCUCGCCUUCUUGAUCCAGCAAGACGCUAAGGUAGUAAAUGAGUUCCAUCAACACGAAGGCGUGGUGACGGCUGCGCGCCUAGCCACAUUGGCUGAGCGCGCGUGGCUGGAGAACCUUCAACAUUCACUUGACGAACGCGCUCGGCGGCUGAUUCCUGAAUCCAGGCAACGACAACGGGAAUUGUUCCCACCUGAACCUCAGAAGAGGAAGGCAAUUGGCGAAGAGGUGGCUCGGCUUCUGGCAACUGAUUUCAUCCGCGAGAUAUACCACUCCGAGUGGCUCGCCAAUGUUGUCAUGGUUCCGAAGAAAGAUGAUUCACUUUGCAUGUGCAUCGAUUUUAAGCAUAUCAAUCGGGCCUGCCCGAAAGAUCACUUCCCUCUACCCUAG
rnacentral:rRNA from 1 species